GCGAAUGUUGCCAAAUUGAAGAAGGAAAAAAAAAUGUAGAGGAAGUAAAGGGAGUUGAGGUCAGAACCAAACAAGAAACGUAAUGAGCCCCCACCACCUUUGAAUUGAGCUAGCUAAUGAUGCCCGUUCUGAAAACAAGAAGUCCAAGCAAAAUAUUCUGGAAGUUUUAAAGUGCCCUGGCAUCAUCUCAAACUUUUCCUCGAUCUUUAACAAGUGAAAAGUAGCUGGCUUUUCCACUCUUUCUUUUCCACGAGAAUACUUCCCAGGUAAAAGAAAGGCACAGUUCUUCAGAAAGCAAGAAGUUGAGGAAGUUAAUGAUGCGUAAAGAAAGGUGAGUUUUAUUUUUUGCUUUGAAGAAAAUUGCUUUAGAAUAAAGUAUACUGUUUAAAACUGAAAAUGUAAAUGAUAGAAAGAAUUUUAU